CACUGUGUUUAUAAAGCAGGAAGUGGAAAGCUGCUCCAUCGCUUGUCUCCUUCCUGUCUACAAAGGUCCAGUUGGUGAGGACAGCAGGGGCAGAGACGGACAACGUGGCAUCUAUAAAAACAGAAGACAGACUACAUAUUCCAGUCCUUGGGAAGAAGACCUUUGAGUAGCAUCAAUGCACCGCUUGUUUGUGUCUCCCGCUUGCAAGUAUUAUUCAAUAAAUGUGCUGUUUAAUGAUUUA